rnacentral:rRNA from 1 species
UACGAAGGGGGCUAGCGUUGCUCGGAAUCACUGGGCGUAAAGCGCACGUAGGCGGAUCGUUAAGUCGGGGGUGAAAUCCUGGAGCUCAACUCCAGAACUGCCUUCGAUACUGGCGAUCUUGGAGUCCGGGAGAGGUGAGUGGAACUCCGAGUGUAGAGGUGAAAUUCGUAGAUAUUCGGAAGAACACCAGUGGCGGAGGCGGCUCACUGGCCCGGUACUGACGCUGAGGUGCGAAAGCGUGGGGAGCGAACAGG